rnacentral:rRNA from 1 species
GACGAACGCUGGCGGCGUGCCUAAUACAUGCAAGUUGAGCGCUGAAGGUUGGUACUUGUACCAACUGGAUGAGCCGCGAACGGGUGAGUAACGCGUGGGGAAUCUGCCUUUGAGCGGGGGACAACAUUUGGAAACGAAUGCUAAUACCGCAUAAAAACUUUAAACACAAGUUUUAAGUUUGAAAGAUGCAAUUGCAUCACUCAAAGAUGAUCCCGCGUUGUAUUAGCUAGUUGGUGAGGUACAGGCUCACCAAGGCGAUGAUACAUAGCCGACCUGAGAGGGUGAUCGGCCACAUUCGGACUGAGACACGGCCCAAACGCCUACGGGAGGCAGCAGUAGGGAAUCUUCGGCAAUGGACGAAAGUCUGACCGAGCAACGCCGCGGGAGUGAAGAAGGUUUUCGGAUCGUAAAACUCUGUUGGUAGAGAAGAACGUUGGUGAGAGUGGAAAGCUCAUCAAGUGACGGUAACUACCCAGAAAGGGACGGCUAACUACGUG